AGCGAACGCUGGCGGCAGGCCUAACACAUGCAAGUCGAACGAACUCUUCGGAGUUAGUGGCGGACGGGUGAGUAACACGUGGGAACGUGCCUUUAGGUUCGGAAUAACUCAGGGAAACUUGUGCUAAUACCGAAUGUGCCCUUCGGGGGAAAGAUUUAUCGCCUUUAGAGCGGCCCGCGUCUGAUUAGCUAGUUGGUGAGGUAAAGGCCCACCAAGGCGACGAUCAGUAGCUGGUCUGAGAGGAUGAUCAGCCACAUUGGGACUGAGACACGGCCCAAACUCCUACGGGAGGCAGCAGUGGGGAAUCUUGCGCAAUGGGCGAAAGCCUGACGCAGCCAUGCCGCGUGAAUGAUGAAGGUCUUAGGAUUGUAAAAUUCUUUCACCGGGGACGAUAAUGACGGUACCCGGAGAAGAAGCCCCGGCUAACUUCGUG
rnacentral:rRNA from 1 species